UACAAGUUCAUCUUUUUGAAGUUUUGGGAAGUGAUGAUAGCAAUAUGGAGAGAUUGACAUAAUACCAAAUACCUCAGAGGGCGAUCAAUGAGCUUCAUCUAGGAUGUCAAGGGUGAAUAUUACAAGCGAUAGAGAGGUUCUGAAAAAUAACCUUCAGGCAUCAGCUAUGGUCUCUAAUAAAGAUGCCUCAAACAAGACUGAUAAAGAGAAAAGAAUCCAAG
rnacentral:lncRNA from 1 species